UUUGCCCUUAUUGUUUUGUUCUAGAAUCCCCAUGUCAAUUGCUUCACUCUCCCGGUUGAUUUCACUCUCAAUUUACCCGAAACAAAGAAAAGUUUUCACUCUUCAAUUCAGCUCGACUUCUUCUGCAGACAAAUUCUUCACCCUUUUAGAGAAAAAACAAAGCAAUGUAGAGAAAACCCUUGCUUUAGUCAAUGCCAAAUUGGACCCAAACUGUGUCUGUGAGGUGUUAAAAAGAUGUUCCUUUGAUAUAUCUCAAAUGGGCCUGAGGUUUUUUAUAUGGGCAGGUCUUCAAUCAAAUUGUAGGUAUAGUUCUUAUAUGUACAACAAAGCUUGUGAAUUUUUGAAAAUUAAGCAAAGUCCAUUUCUUAUUUUGGAUGUUAUUGAAGCUUACAAGGUGGAAAAGUGUUUGGUUAAUGUUAAAAUGUUCAAAGUUAUUUUUAAUUUGUGUAAAGAAGCUAGGAUUGCUGAUGAAGCGUUGUUGGUAUUGAGGAAAGUGCCUGAAUUUAACUUACGUCCGGAUAUUACCAUUUAUAAUGUUGUUAUCAGGCUGUUUUGUGAGAAAGGGGAUAUGGAUAUGGCUAAUAAAUUGAUGAAAGAGAUCGCCUUGAUUGAUCUUUAUCCUGAUAUGAUCACUUAUUUUGCGAUGAUCAAGGGGUUCUGUAAUGCUGGUAGAUUGGAGGAUGCUUGUGAGUUGUUUCAGGCUAUGAGGGAGCAAGGGUUUUCUCCAAAUGCCUUGGUGUAUUCUGUGCUUCUCGAGGGUAUUUGUAUGCAUGGGAGUACGGAGAAAGCAUUGGAGUUUUUGGAGGAGAUGGAGACAACAGGUGGGAGUUGUAGUCCAAAUGUCAUCACAUAUACAUCUGUAAUUAAAAGCUUUUGUGAGAAGGGUCAUACAAUGGAGGCAUUGAGAAUUUUGGAUAGAAUGGAAACUUGUGGGUGUGCUCCUAACCGUGUAACUGUUAUUACUUUGAUCAAAGGGUUUUGUGCUGAGGGACAUGUUGAGGAAGCGUAUAAGUUGAUUGAUAAAGUUGCUGGACGUGGUGUUUCUGAUGGUGAUUGCUAUAGUGCUCUUGUGGUGUCUUUGAUUAGGAUUAAUAGACUUGAUGAGGCAGAGAUUCUCUUUAGGAAGAUGUUAGCAAGUGGGGCCAAACCAGAUGGCAUUGCUUGUAGUCUAAUGAUUAGGGAGAUCUGUCGCAAGGGACGAGUGCUUGAUGGUUUUUGCUUAUAUGAUGAAAUUGAGCAGAUGCGAUUCUUGUCAUCCAUUGAUUCUGAUAUCUAUUCUAUUCUUUUGGUUGGCCUGUGUCAGCAAAGCCAUUUGGUUGAAGCUGCAAAGCUUGCUAGGUCAAUGCUUGAUAAAAGGAUUCGCUUGAAAGCUAUUUAUGUUAACAAAAUCAUCGAACAUCUGAAAAACUCUGGAGAUAAGGAGCUAGCUAUUCAGCUCAGUAGAAUUGCUAGGUUGCCAGUGUACUUACUUCACAAUGCCAUUUGGUGCUAAGCAAAGCCAUAGUUGCAGAUCAGGUUGCUAGUGUAGUUCAUAAUGCUGUUUGGUAGAGAUCUUCGCGGUGUUCACGAGCUUUUAUUGAUCACAGGGAACUCAAGCUUAUCAAAAUCUAUUUUAUACUGUUAGGUGCUGUUCCAUUUCCUACUGAUGUUCCAAGGCUAAAGGAGAAUGGUGUUCGUGGAGUAAUCACACUAAACGAGCCUUACGAAACUCUGGUUCCUACAUCUCUUUAUCAU